rnacentral:lncRNA from 10 species
AUGGUAGUUUCUCCUCCAGUUUCCUGAAGAGGCAGGCAGCACUGGCUCGGAUCUCAGGGCAGUGGAUGGGACUGUGUGGAGUUUUCCCUUACCGGGUGAACAUGUCCCAUCCUUCACGACAUUGGCUGAAACUACCAUCACCUCUGUGACCUUGUCAGAGCUCUCUGGGAAGCCUGAAGCUAAACUGAAAAAGUGAGCCCACCAUCUGCUGUUUUGCUGCUUAUAAAGAAUUUUCAGCUUGUCCAUAAACAGAAGCAAAUAAAUUGGCAUGAAUUAGCUAUGAGAUAUAUUUAUAUAUAAAUGAAUAUAAUGUCAUUAAGGUGAUUAUGGGACAUGAUUGAAAUGUUGGACCCUAAAUACUUUCCUAAGUGCCACCUGAAACACGGGACUGCCAUUAACAUAAUGAAAUCACCAAAUGAAACAUUCUGAGGUGAAAAAUCUAAGUAGUUUCCUGAGAUUGUUCCUGUGGUUAAUUCAUAAUCCUGGUAUUGUUUUCACUAAUUUUCUUCCCCCACACCUUUUUUUUUUUUUUUUUUUUUUGAGACAGGGUCUUGCUCUGUCAUCUGGGAUGGAGUGCAGUGGUGUGAUCAUAGCUCACUGCAGCCUCCACCUCCCAGGCUCAAGCCAUCCUCCUACCUCAGCCUCCUGAGUAGCUGGGACUACAGGCACACACCACCAUGCCCACCUAACUUAAAUUUAUUUAUUUAUUUUUGGUAGAGAUGGGGUCUCAUUAUAUUGCGCAGGCUGGUCUGGAACUCCUGGCCUCAAGUGAUCCUCCUGCCUCAGCCUCCCAAAAUGCUGAGAUUACAAAGCAUAAGCCACCGUGCCUGGCUUCUUCCCAUUUUAACAAAUGAAAACAUAUGGUGUAAGCGUAUUUCCCUCUAGGCCAACAAUAAUUUUUUAAGUUGAGGACUCAAAAGAAAAAAAGCCAAGUGAUAAAGACAUUUUAUUUCCACUUUACUUCUACUGGAAGUUUUUUAAAAA